rnacentral:rRNA from 1 species
AUUGAACGCUGGCGGCAGGCCUAACACAUGCAAGUCGAACGGUAACAGGAAGCAGCUUGCUGCUUUGCUGACGAGUGGCGGACGGGUGAGUAAUGUCUGGGAAACUGCCCGAUGGAGGGGGAUAACUACUGGAAACGGUAGCUAAUACCGCAUAACGUCGCAAGACCAAAGAGGGGGACCUUAGGGCCUCUUGCCAUCGGAUGUGCCCGGAUGGGAUUAGCUAGUAGGUGGGGUAACGGCUCACCUAGGCGGCGAUCCCUAGCUGGUCUGAGAGGAUGACCAGCCACACUGGAACUGAGACACGGUCCAGACUCCUACGGGAGGCAGCAGUGGGGAAUAUUGCACAAUGGGCGCAAGCCUGAUGCAGCCAUGCCGCGUGUAUGAAGAAGGCCUUCGGGUUGUAAAGUACUUUCAGCGGGGAGGAAGGGAGUAAAGUUAAUACCUUUGCUCAUUGACGUUACCCGCAGAAGAAGCACCGGCUAACUCCGUG